ACCAAGUUGCAGUUCAUGUAAACAUCCUACACUCAGCUGUAGUACACGGACUGGCUGGGCGGAGGAUGUUUACUUCAGCUGACUUGGA
rnacentral:pre_miRNA from 1 species